UCGGCGUAACAUGAUGUGUGCG
rnacentral:miRNA from 1 species